GGCUCAGGAUGAACGCUAGCUACAGGCUUAACACAUGCAAGUCGAGGGGCAUCAGGAAGAAAGCUUGCUUUCUUUGCUGGCGACCGGCGCACGGGUGAGUAACACGUAUCCAACCUGCCCUUUACUCGGGGAUAGCCUUUCGAAAGAAAGAUUAAUACCCGAUAGCAUAAUGAUUCCGCAUGGUUUCAUUAUUAAAGGAUUCCGGUAAAGGAUGGGGAUGCGUUCCAUUAGGUUGUUGGUGAGGUAACGGCCCACCAAGCCUUCGAUGGAUAGGGGUUCUGAGAGGAAGGUCCCCCACAUUGGAACUGAGACACGGUCCAAACUCCUACGGGAGGCAGCAGUGAGGAAUAUUGGUCAAUGGGCGCUAGCCUGAACCAGCCAAGUAGCGUGAAGGAUGAAGGCUCUAUGGGUCGUAAACUUCUUUUAUAUAAGAAUAAAGUGCAGUAUGUAUACUGUUUUGUAUGUAUUAUAUGAAUAAGGAUCGGCUAACUCCGUGCCAGCAGCCGCGGUAAUACGGAGGAUCCGAGCGUUAUCCGGAUUUAUUGGGUUUAAAGGGAGCGUAGGUGGACUGGUAAGUCAGUUGCGAAAGUUUGCGGCUCAACCGUAAAAUUGCAGUUGAUACUGUCAGUCUUGAGUACAGUAGAGGUGGGCGGAAUUCGUGGUGUAGCGGUGAAAUGCUUAGAUAUCACGAAGAACUCCGAUUGCGAAGGCAGCUCACUGGACUGCAACUGACACUGAUGCUCGAAAGUGUGGGUAUCAAACAGGAUUAGAUACCCUGGUAGUCCACACAGUAAACGAUGAAUACUCGCUGUUUGCGAUAUACAGUAAGCGGCCAAGCGAAAGCAUUAAGUAUUCCACCUGGGGAGUACGCCGGCAACGGUGAAACUCAAAGGAAUUGACGGGGGCCCGCACAAGCGGAGGAACAUGUGGUUUAAUUCGAUGAUACGCGAGGAACCUUACCCGGGCUUAAAUUGCAGUGGAAUGAUGUGGAAACAUGUCAGUGAGCAAUUACCGCUGUGAAGGUGCUGCAUGGUUGUCGUCAGCUCGUGCCGUGAGGUGUCGGCUUAAGUGCCAUAACGAGCGCAACCCUUAUCUUUAGUUACUAACAGGUUAUGCUGAGGACUCUAGAGAGACUGCCGUCGUAAGAUGUGAGGAAGGUGGGGAUGACGUCAAAUCAGCACGGCCCUUACGUCCGGGGCUACACACGUGUUACAAUGGGGGGUACAGAAGGCAGCUAGCGGGUGACCGUAUGCUAAUCCCAAAAUCCUCUCUCAGUUCGGAUCGAAGUCUGCAACCCGACUUCGUGAAGCUGGAUUCGCUAGUAAUCGCGCAUCAGCCACGGCGCGGUGAAUACGUUCCCGGGCCUUGUACACACCGCCCGUCAAGCCAUGGGAGCCGGGGGUACCUGAAGUACGUAACCGCAAGGAUCGUCCUAGGGUAAAACUG
rnacentral:rRNA from 1 species